rnacentral:rRNA from 1 species
CCUACGGGAGGCAGCAGUGAGGAAUAUUGGUCAAUGGACGGGAGUCUGAACCAGCCAAGUAGCGUGAAGGAUGAAUGCCCUAUGGGUUGUAAACUUCUUUUAUAUGGGAAUAAAAUGUUCCACGUGUGGGAUUCUGUAUGUACCAUAUGAAAAAGGAACGGCUAACUCCGGGCCCGCAGCCGCGGUAAUACGGAGGAUCGGGACGUUAUCCGGGUUUAUUGGGUUUAAAGGGAGCGUAGGUGGAUUGUUAAGUCAGUUGUGAAAGUUUGCGGCUCAACCGUAAGAUUGCAGUUGAAACUGGCAGUCUUGAGUACAGUAGAGGUGGGCGGAAUGCGUGGUGUAGCGGUGAAAUGCUUAGAUAUCACGAAGAACUCCGAUUGCGAAGGCAGUUCACUGGACUGCAACUGACACUGAGGCUCGAAAGUGUGGGUAUCAAACAGGAUUAGAUACCCGAGUAGUC